UUAGAGCAUGUCAAAGUGUGAUAAGGUACCUAUUGUAGAAUGGUCCGGCGAGUUAUUGUAUGCAGCGAGGUUAAGUAGUUCAGCUACGGAGCCGAAGUGAGAGCGAGUGUUAACAGCACGUUCAGUUGCAUGCAAUAGACCCGAAACCGGGUGACCUAUCCAUGUCCAGGAUGAAGUGAGGGUAAAACCUCAUGGAGGUCCGAACCCACUCCCGUUGAAAUGGUAGGGGAUGAGGUGUGGAUAGCGGAGAAAUUCCAAUCGAACCCGGAUAUAGCUGGUUCUCCCCGAAAUAGUUUUAGGACUAGCCUCGUGAUUAAGAUUAUCGGAGGUAAAGCACUGAAUGGCCUAGGGGUCGAGAGAUUACCGAAGCCUAUCAAACUCUGAAUGCCGAAUAAUCAUGCACGGGAGUCAGACUGUGUGAGAUAAGUUUCAUAGUCGAAAGGGAAACAGCCCAGACCUACAGCUAAGGUCCCAAAGUACGUUUAAGUGGAAAACGAUGUGAAAUUGCGUAGAC
rnacentral:rRNA from 1 species